UGUUUUCCUGCUCAAAGAGGAUUAUUUUGCUCAUCUGCUGGGACUAUGUGUAAUGGACAGAUAUGCUGCUUACUUGGCUGAAGAAACUCUCUCUGGGAUUUAGUUGGAUUCUAUGCCACGGGCCUUAACAUCCAACGCCUUCUUGUUCAUCUUCAGAUAAGACCGUUUUUCUGUUUACUGGACUGUUUCUGAUCUCACCUGUAAUAGUCUUAAUUGCCCGUUUGCUACUGUAUAUACCGAAGCCUAUGCUCAUGGAAGUCUUAAGGAGUUGUAUUUAUCAAGAACAGUGCAAAGUAACUGAGACUGUUAUAAAGGUGUUUACCUACAGCUGACUACAGAGUGAAUGAGAGAGGAGGAGAAUGAGGGCAUCGUUCAACUAAGAAUAUUAAGAACACAGGAGGCCAUUAUUCAAAUUAUGAAGAUGCGAAAGAUCACAAAUGCCCAGCUGCAGACCAAGCAGGUGGAGAUCUUGAAAAACAUGUUCCUUCCUCAGAAGAUGAUGAUCAAGGAGCAGAUUGAAUCAGUCAGACAUUAACACCUUUAUCUACAUGGCAUAGCACUGAGGUUUACGCUGGAAAUGCUUAUCGUUCCAAUCAAGAUGAAGACAGUGAACCUGCACCGGCUCAGCAGUGGGAGAGGAGUGCUGACACAAUGGAGCAACCAAGCUGGCUGCUGAUCUUCUCGUGGAGUGAUGGGCUUGUUCUACACGACAGUCACACACCAGAAUAGCUUGUUUUCAAGAAAAAUCCCUGUCUUACCUUACAGUAAAGAAACCUGAGAUGAGGAUUGGAGAUUUCAAAGAAAAAACAAAUAA